rnacentral:rRNA from 1 species
AAAUGCGACGCCUUCAAGAGCUGGCUGCAGGAGUACGCGCAGAAACUCGGCGUCGCGGCUCCGGAGUAUCACACCCUCAAGGAGGGGCCCUUCCAUGAGCCCAUCUUCAAGUCCGCGGUCGUGAUCGAUGGCGCCAAGUUCGACUCGCUGCCCGGAUUUUUCACCCGGAAGGCCGCAGAGCAGUCGGCUGCUGAAAUCGCCCUCAUGGAAAUUGUCGAGUCCAUCCCAACCAUUGGGAGAAUCCCAGCAGCUCUAGAAACUGGCCUCUGCAAGAAUCUUCUUCAGGAGUAUGCUCAGAAGAUGAAUUACACUCCAUCUUAUAGCUUGACCAGACAAGCUUCAGGGGUGGCUCCUUUUACCGUAGAGAUUGGUGGUAUACAAUACAUUGGUCCUGCAGCCAGGUCAAAGAAAGUGGCAGAGAUAAAAGGAGCCCGAACUGCUCUUCUUGCAAUACAAGGUCAACUAGAGGGUCGCGGAAGUGGUGCCACAAAGCAUAUUGUAGUUCCUAGCAAAAGGCAAGUUAAGGAGACAGCAAAAAAGCCAAUUGAAAUCCCAAAACCACUUGAGGUGAAGAAUGGUGGUUUCAAGAAGAAAUGGAACAAGAGGAAGUUCAUGAAAAGGAAUCGCCAAGCAGUUGAUGUGGAAAAGAAUGAAGGAAAAAUGGCUGGAGAUGUCAUUAACCCAGUGUCCCGAUGCAUCCAACAAUCAACACAGGAGCCACCCAGCGACACUGUCAUGCUGAAAGAUGAUGAGGAAGCUAAAAGAGUAGUACAGGAGCCAGGCUACGACGCUGUAAUGCUGCAACCUAGUAAGGAAGAACAGGAGUCCGGCAUUGCAGUGCUGAAACCUGAUGAGUUAGAUAGAAGAGUAGAACAUGUGCAAGGCAGUGACAUUGUGAUGCUGCCACCUGAUCACGAAACUAGAAGAGUAAAACAUGUGCCAGGCAGUGACACUGCAAUGCUUCAACGUAAUAACGAAGCUAGAAGCGUAGAACAGGAGCCGCCAAGAGAUUCUGGAAUGGCGCGAUCUAAUAAGGAAGCUGGAUGCAUAAACCAGGAGCUACUCGGUGAGACUGCAAUGCCUCACAAUGUCAGGAAAGCUAGAACCAUGAAGCAUGAUUCACAGCACCGGUGCAGCCUAAUGUAG